rnacentral:tRNA from 2 species
GCAGGGGUACCCGAGCCUGGUCUAAGGGGCAGGGCUUAGGACCCUGUGGCGUAGGCCUUCGUGCGUUCAAAUCGCACCCCCUGCA